rnacentral:rRNA from 1 species
ACGGGUGAGUAACACGUGGGAACGUGCCCUUCGGUUCGGAAUAACUCAGGGAAACUUGAGCUAAUACCGGAUGCGCCCUUAUGGGGAAAGGUUUACUGCCGAAGGAUCGGCCCGCGUCUGAUUAGCUUGUUGGUGGGGUAACGGCCUACCAAGGCGACGAUCAGUAGCUGGUCUGAGAGGAUGAUCAGCCACACUGGGACUGAGACACGGCCCAGACUCCUACGGGAGGCAGCAGUGGGGAAUAUUGGACAAUGGGCGCAAGCCUGAUCCAGCCAUGCCGCGUGAGUGAUGAAGGCCUUAGGGUUGUAAAGCUCUUUUGUCCGGGACGAUAAUGACGGUACCGGAAGAAUAAGCCCCGGCUAACUUCGUGCCAGCAGCCGCGGUAAUACGAAGGGGGCUAGCGUUGCUCGGAAUCACUGGGCGUAAAGGGCGCGUAGGCGGCCGAUUAAGUCGGGGGUGAAAGCCUGUGGCUCAACCACAGAAUUGCCUUCGAUACUGGUUGGCUUGAGACCGGAAGAGGACAGCGGAACUGCGAGU